rnacentral:rRNA from 1 species
UCCGGUUGAUCCUGCCAGAGGUUACUGCUAUCGGUGUUCGCCUAAGCCAUGCGAGUCAUAUGUUCUUCGUGAACAUGGCGUACUGCUCAGUAACACGUGGAUAACCUGCCCUUGGGUCCGGCAUAACCCCGGGAAACUGGAGAUAAUUCCGGAUAACGCACAUAUGCUGGAAUGCUUUAUGCGUAAAAUGGAUUCGUCUGCCCAAGGAUGGGUCUGCGGCCUAUCAGGUAGUAGUGGGUGUAAUGUACCUACUAGCCAACAACGGGUACGGGUUGUGAGAGCAAGAGCCCGGAGAUGGAUUCUGAGACAUGAAUCCAGGCCCUACGGGGCGCAGCAGGCGCGAAAACUUUACAAUGCGGGAAACCGUGAUAAGGGGACACCGAGUGCCAGCGUACAUAAGCUGGGCUGUCCAGAUGCCUAAAAUAGCACCUCGUUAGCAAGGGCCGGGCAAGACCGGUGCCCAGCCGCCGCGGUAACACCGGCGGCCCGAGUGGUAACCGUGAUUAUUGGGUCUAAAGGGUCCGUAGCCGGCCUGGAUAAGUCUCUCCGAGAAAUCUGACAGCUCAACUAUCAGGCUUUCAGGAGAUACUGCCAGGCUCGAGAACCGGGAGAGGUAAGAGGUACUACAGGGGUAGGAGUGAAAUCUUGUAAUCCCUGUGAAGGACCACCAGUGGCGAAGGCGUCUCACCAGAACGGACCUGACGGCAAGGGACGAAAGCUAGGGGCACGAACCGGAUUAGAUACCCGGGUAGUCCUAGCCGUAAACGAUACUCGCUAGGUGUCGGCCACGGUGCGACCGUUGUCGGUGCCGUAGGGAAGCCGUGAAGCGAGCCACCUGGGAAGUACGGCCGCAAGGCUGAAACUUAAAGGAAUUGGCGGGGGAGCACCACAACGGGUGGAGCUUGCGGUUUAAUUGGAUUCAACGCCGGAAAUCUUACCGGGUCCGACAGCAAUAUGAAGGCCAGGCUGAAGACUUUGCCGGAUUAGCUGAGAGGUGGUGCAUGGCCGUCGUCAGUUCGUACUGUGAAGCAUCCUGUUAAGUCAGGUAAC